UAAAAGGGCCUCUGCCAUGUGUGGCCUGGGGGAACCUCGCAGCUGCCCCCACAGAUUCAACAUCCAGAGAUUUUGGAGGCAAAGUUUUUGCAGUGGGGGUUUUAUUUGGAGCCCUC
rnacentral:snRNA from 1 species